rnacentral:tRNA from 1 species
GGCAGUGUUGCCUUGUGGUGAGGGCACUGGACUAGGACUCAGAAGACCUGGGCUGUAUUCCUGGCUCUGCCA